GCAUAUUGGACAAUGGGGGGAACCCUGAUCCAGCCAUGCCGCGUGUGUGAAGAAGUCCUUUUGGUUGUAACGCACUUUAAGCGCGGAGGAAGCUCUCUUGGUUAAUACCCAAGAUUCUUAGAUGUUACUCGCAGCCUAACCCCCGGCUACCGCUUCUCCAGCAGCCGCGGUAAUACAGAGGGUGCAAGCGUUAAUCGGAUUUACUGGGCGUAAAGCGCGCGUAGGGGGACGAUUAAGUCAAAUGUGAAAUCCCCGAGCUGAACUUGGGAAUUGCAUUCGAUACUGGUUGGCUAGAGUAUGGGAGAGGAUGGUAGAAUUCCAGGUGUAGCGGUGAAAUGCGUAGAGAUCUGGAGGAAUACCGAUGGCGAAGGCAGCCAACUGGCCUAAUACUGACACUGAGGUGCGAAAGCAUGGAGAGCAAAC
rnacentral:rRNA from 1 species